UCCUCCUCGCGGGGUUGCUGCGCCAGAGCCCACACCCGCCCAACCCUAGCCGCCACACCUCUCCUUCCUCCCUCGCUUGACACCAUAGGCGCUGCACCCCUCCCCUCCUCCUGCUCGGGCGGAUAGCCGCCGGCCGCCGCAUCCCUUCUCCCCCUUCCUCCUCCUUCCUCCUUCCCGCUGGCGCCCAUCGCCCUCGUCCUCGGACAAGGGGCCUUCCACAGGGAUGGCCAUGUCUUAAAACCAGGGGUAGAGGAGCAGGGGAGGGCCAAGAAGCCGGCACUGGGGGUGGAGGACCCAGGUGGUGGACGCGUCAUGGGGUUAAGGACAGGCCGAUGAUAGGGUUAAGUAGGAGGAGUGCCAUGGAUCUGCAGGGAAAGGAGGGCGACGCCCUCGGCGGGCGUCCGAGAAGGAAGCCGGCGGGGAGCACGUCACCGUAGGCGUCAAGGGAGCCAUGGACAAGCCGCCAGGAGGAGAAAGCUCCCAGUUUGUGGAGGAGACUAUGUGACAGGUGGUGUUUUGGAAUCUAGAUUGAUUUGGUACUGUAUGUUGUGUGAUGUGCCCUUGCCAAGAAUAUUUGAUGUGUGUGAUGACACAAGCAAUUGUAGAGGAGUGAACACCAUGCUCGAUUAGUGGACUGCCGCUUGAGAAGAAGCUUGUCAUUUGUCUCUUCGAGCCACGGAGGAUAGGGGCCUUCGAAGAACUUGGGGUUUGACAUAGCCAUCGAGGAAGUGCAGGAUACAAACCAAGUGUAAUCAAAGAGGAUAUGGAUUCAGUAUGGCCAUGAGGGAAGGAAUGUUACUCCAAUUUGGAUCUUGGAGAAUGCUUUCUCAGUGUGGUUCAGGUUAAAUUGUUGUCCUACUGUUCCUGCUCAGCCUCCUAAUGUUCUAUGUCUUGGCCGCGCCUUCUUCCAGCUUCUCUAUUGGUUUUCUCUUCACACCGAUGUAAGUGCAUAUUCCUCCCUUCCUCCAAAUCUUCUCCAGCCAUGGUUGUUUGCAUCUGGUCACAGUUGUUUCAUGUUUCACUUCCGUUGGUGGUUCACGCGUCGGCCUUAGUGCUCUAAGCAAACCAGCAUUUCUCAUCUUGGCGAUUGUAUUAUUGGGGCUUUGCUACAUCUGUAGGUUUGAAUCUCAUGUGGCUCUGCGCCCAGCCACCAUCUCCUCCCUAGCUAAGCAAGAGGUUCAAAGGCCACCGCUACCUCUUCCUUGCCGCCCAGCAGGAGGGGCACUAGGUGUGCCUCAUGUUUAGUUAAUGCCCACUGAUUGUGAUGUUCAUUCUAUGGGGAAUUUUGUUUACUUUUUAUAUUUUGUGCAUUUUCUAUUUCAUGUAUUGGUUAGUGGUCCUAAAUCCCAUGUGAUUUCUUCAUUAUUCAGGAAAAUUACAUAUCAGGAGAGCCAUUUAUUAGAGGAUCUUCUAAAAGGCUUUUUAUAUUUGGUUCCUCAUGUUCUGCUUCUCGGGGUUUGCUCACUUCCUUUCUAGCUAGAAAUACCAUAUUUUCCUCUCUACGUGUACUGUCUUGGUAUUUGGCUCGUUGCUCGUCUUAAUAUUCCGGAUUUAGCGGGGCAUCAUGUUUUGUUUAGCCUCAUGCUCCUAAGUGUAUCUCACAUUGUAUAGGAACCUGUCCUACGGGGACCUUGCCUUUUAUGCUUCUUCUUGAUAAUAGAAGUAUUGAAUAUACUUGUUUCUUCUGCUCAAACAUUUUGGCUAAGUGGCAAUAUUCCAAAUAAAUGGAUGUAUCUCAAACAAAGGAGAUGUCUGAUGCAGUGAGUCGAAGUCGCUUAAUCGAGGAGAAAUUAGGCUUGUGACGCAAUUAUAUGGUUAGCAGGAAAGUUUUAAACCUGAAAAAUCAGACGAAACUCUGGCAAUAUUACGUUCUAUAAAUGAUUUGGCAAUUGCAUUCAGUAUCAGGUUGUGUUCAUAAUUUUGUACUUGACAGUUGUAGCUUUGAACCUACAUAGUGUUGGCAGUUGCUUGAUGAAGCCAAACUUACAACUCGAUAUUUUUAAUUUAUGCUGCAACUUGAUUAGGAAUUUCCUAUGUUAAGUUGGAACCACACAAAUUCUUAUCACGUCAUGGCUUGCUUGGGAUUCAAUUGCAGGAAGAAACUGUAUUGAACUUGCUUAAUUUUUCUUCAGAAAUAGUAUUGAAUCGGCUACUUGUUGGCAAUUUCAUGUUACAAAGUCGUCAUUAAGCGAAGAGAUAGGGUAUUGAUUUGGCUAACUCACGAAACUAAACACUCAAUUCGAGAAAUUUCAUUGGGAAUUCAUAUCCGUAUGAUUGAUUUUGUAAUGGGGAAUGGUGAUUGCAGCAGGCAGGGGUCGACGAGGCAAAGGGGGAUGGAGAAGUGGUCGAGCUGGAGGCGUACAGGCAGGGCACCCAGAAGACGGAGCUGUGCAACAAGUGGGAGGGCGGCGCCUGCUCCUGCGGCGGCCGGUGCCGGUUCGCGCAUGGCCUGCAGGAUGAUGGUUUCUUAAUUUCGUUGACUAACCAGGGAGUUCAAGGAUGAUGACUGGAAGUUUUGUCAUUACUGGUUAACACUUGGCGACGAUGUGUCCAUCAGAAAUGAUCCGAUUAUCCUCUGUUGUAUUAUAUUUCCUACUUUUUUGUAAAUAUGUAUGGAUGUACAUGCAUGCUCUUUCGAUGUCUGAAAAUGACCAGCAUCCCUCGGUGGGCAAAGAUGAUUUUGUUGAACAGUUUUAGUAUAUGUUACAUACCAUAUUCUUUCCAAUGUAGAAGGUAGCAGCUGACUCUGCAUUGCCG
rnacentral:rRNA from 1 species